rnacentral:rRNA from 1 species
AUGUAUUCUGCUGUUGGGCAAGCGGCGAGGGGAGGGGAGCCUGGAGAUGGCUUGGAGCUGAAGUGGGGCGUGAUCCUGGGAGCUGCUGUCUGCUAUCUUGUUUCAGGAAUGAGCCAGUUGUAUCCCUUUCUUUGGCGAUGUAAUAUGAGUUACAGAGUACAUAUAAGCCGAGCUCCCAACGACUCCCGUAAAGUUGGGCACGCUGGCCUCGUACAAGGAUUGGAGAUCGUGAUCCAAGAGAAUAGGAGCAUGGGCAUGCUAGCCGCUUUAUGGGGAGAAGCAGUGAAAACUGCGGUCUACAUCCUCAAUCGGUCUCCAACGCGCAGCCUCGUAGGGCGUGACACGGCCGUAAUCCCAACGUACAACAUCUGCGCACUUCGCUGCACGGUUCAUGUGAAGAAGUUGGGCCUGGGAGUGAUUAAGCUCUCCGAUCGAUCAUCGCCUAUGGUUUUCAUCGGAUUUGAAGAAGGGUCAGAGUGCUAUCGGGCCAUGGAACUGGAGAGAGCCGGGCGUGUCCGCGACGGCAACACUCACGGUGGCUUAUACCACCGGACUUGUGAGCACGAGCUGGACUUCGGCGGGGCCUCGAGCCCGUUGGCGAACGGUGGCACGGUGUCACCCUCUACACCAACUCUUGGGUCACCGCAGUCACCCGUGGCGCCAAGCUUUGAGAGUCCACGGUCACCCACUUCCACCAGCUCCUGCCUCAAUCGAGGGAGUGCUUGUAACACCUACGCCAUCCCACAGCAUGGGCUAGGCAACGCCACCGAACGCACGACUGUGAAAAACGAGAUGUAUCUUGGGUUAAGCGUAUACACCUCCGACAGGGACGCGUGCGUGUAUAUAUUGGCACAAGGCCGCAGAAUAGAUACAGGAGUUGGUUAG